GAGGGUAUAGCUCAGUGGUAGAGCAUGUGCUUAGCAUGCAUGAGGUCCUGGGUUCAAUCCCCAGUACCUCCA
rfam:Camelus ferus unplaced genomic scaffold scaffold666, whole genome shotgun sequence.